GACGAACUGUCCUAACGUUGUUCGGAAUCACUGGGCUUAAAGGGCGCGUAGGCGGUCGAUCAAGUCAGGGGUGAAAUCCUGCAGCUUAACUGUAGAAGUGCCUUUGAUACUGGUCGUCUCGAGGGAGGUAGGGGUGUGUGGAACUUCCAGUGGAGCGGUGAAAUGCGUAGAUAUCGGGAGGAACACCUGUGGCGAAAGCGGCUCACUGGACCACAACUGACGCUGAUGCACGAAAGCUAGGGGAGCAAACAGG
rnacentral:rRNA from 1 species